UGGGGCGAGGCCGCCGGAGGCCCCCAGCAUGGGCUGCGCGGCGCGGAGAGCCGACGCCAGCCCGCUCCGGCGCCUGCCCAGGUGUUGCCUGAUCGCCGGGGCGCAAGCAGAGCACGGGGGCCGCGACCCCGGAAGCGGACGGGCCCACGGCCCGAUCUCGCGUGGCGAGAAGGGGUCUCGCCCGCGCCGCACCUGUGUGCGCGUGUACUCCAGGGUGAGCUGCGGCCCAGCAGACAGUACAGAUGCGGAAACGGCCGCAUAGGCUUCUUGCCGGCCACCUUCCAGAAACAAGUUGUUUUUCCAGAGUCACCCAGGCUCCCUGUCGCUUGUCACCCAUGGGAUUCUCCUGGCACAAAGCUGAAGGGAGAGCUACAGAGGUCUAGACCUGUGCUGGCCCACACGAUCAGCCCUGAUCACGUGUAGAUAUGAGCAUUUGUGCUGUAGCCAGUCCACAACGGAGAAUGAAUGCUCUAGACAUAAGAGCAAUACCAGAUUUUGAAGAUGUAAGAAAAAGAAUUGAAAUAGCUCAUGAAUUUUAUUAUAGUCACCAUUUCAGCUCUGUUGGGUUAAAUACAAUAUAUUUUCAUGUAACUAGUAGGAAAUUUAAUAUUAUACAUGUCGCCUGCAUUUGCCGCCCACUUUUUUUUCUGAUAGCACUGAGCUACACUAAGAUUUGGUAUCUUCCUGCCUCUAUGGAUUCUGUCACCCCCAUCGAAAGGUUUUCAUAUUUAUCAUUAUCUUAACUAUUUUUAGGGAGUAGGAAUGAAUGAGAAAUCAAUUCUGAAAAUGUUUCGACACAUAACAUAGCUAAGGAAGAAAGAGCAUCAUGUAACAAGGUCAGACUGGAAUCUGGCUUUGCCCUAGAAUUACUUUUUAAUCUUAGCAAAACAACAACAAAAAAUCCCACCUAUCUUGGCCUUUUAGUGUUCUGAGUCUAGUGGAGAUAAUGUCUUUGCCUUACUUUCGAAGGAUAAAUGAGAUGAUCCCUGUAAAAUGCUUUGAACUCUUCUAAGAAAAUUCUCAGUAAUAGUUACAGGUCAAAUCCUGUUACAAAUACACACACACACACACACACACACACACACUACAACAAAGGCUUUGUAUUUUACAAAAUGAUUUCCAAACUCCAUGCAGGGGUUUGUUAAAAGCAGUGGGCUUUUUUACAUCUCAGUACAACCAAAGAAUUGCAGCCAUCUCUUGGAAAUCACUACUAAAAAGUUCACUUACUGUAGAAUUCGCUAGCAGACCACUGCGUUAGGAACAUGUCAGUUAAGGUGAUAUCAUCAGCAAUUCAGUGCUCAUUGAUCCUGCUCCAUUUGUGUGCCGUGAGUCUCAGUUCUGGAAGGAAAACAAGGAUAAAUGUAGCAUAUAGUUCUUCCGUUUGUGUCUCAGGUCUUACUAUUUGACUUUUGUUUUUCUGGUACUGGGGACUGAAUCUAGAACUCCGCACUAAGAUACCUCUCUGGAGACAGGAUCUUGCUGAGUCCCUAAAUUGUCCAGACUGAGCUUGAACUUGUGAUUGUCCUGCCUUAGCCACUCACUAGCUGACAAUUUUUUUUAAGCCUUUCUUUAUACAUACUAAAGUUAUACCUAGUUUUUGGUGAGGAAUAUGAAAAAUUAUUUUAUUAAUCUAAUAUAAAUUGUCAGCAUUAAAACCACUUUCAAACAGGCAUAAUUUAUCCAGUAUACUAUGUUGGCUUCAUUGAUAGAGGAAUUAAAGCAACAUUUUAAAAUAUCUGAAUGGAGAUGAACGUGCUGUGGUGGCAUUCACAUUUGUUUUUUAUUUUAAUUUUUUUAGUUUGCAGAUUAAUAAGUACACUGAAAACACUGGAAUACUUUUAAAUUACAAUAGAAAAACUAAAUCAUAAUAUAUUGAAACUUAAGACUCAGUGGGAGUUUUAUAGGGGUAUUUAGAAGCAUUGAUUACUUCCUUUUUUUAAAAACCAGGGUCUUGGGCUGGGGAUUUAGCUCAGCGGCAUAAGCGCCUGCUUUGCAAGCAGGCAGUCGUGAGUUCAAUCCCUGGUACCGAUAAAAACGAAAAAGACCAAAAAAAAAAAAAAAAAAAAAAAAAAAAAAAAAACCAGGGUCUUAGACAACAUACUUUCUGGGUUCCCUUUUGUCUCUUUUAGACAGAAGCUAUCUUUCCUCAAUAAAUAUUCCCUACUUAAAAAAGAAAAAAAAAAAAAAAAAAAAACAGGCUGUUACUGUGUAGGAGCCAGGCUAGUGUCAGACUCCUAAUCCUUUUGCUUCAGCCUUUUGAGUGUAAGGAUUACAGGUGUGCACCAUCACUCCUAGAUAGAUGCACUGAAUACUUUUUAAAGAAUUUUUGUUUUGUGGGGGGCAGAUAUUGGGGUAUUUUUGAGACAAGGUCUCAGGCUAACCUCAAACAGCUAUCCCCCUACCUCUGCCUCCUGAGUGCUAGGAUUACAGCUAUGUACCACCACACCUGGACUUUUCUCUUGUUUUUUUGAUAGAGUUUUGCAGAAUUGUCUAGGCUAUCCUAGAACCCCCAAUCCUGGAAGCUAGAAUUACAGAUGUGCACCAGUAUAUCUAGCUUUGUCUUGGUUACUUUCCAAGAGUUAAUCAUGCAGACCCUUAACUUCCUAGUGCUUUUUAUAAUCUCUUUGCAAAACUUUAAAGGAAUUUGUAGGGACUAACAUAUCUUGCCAAAGAACACUUAACUUUGUAAAACACACACACACAUUCAUUUCCCAGUUCUUCCGCAGAAUUCCAACAUAUACUUCAUCUUCAAGGAGAUAGAGUGUAACUCGUCACUCCUGAUGGGGACCGAGUAGAGGGACCUCUGUGCCUUCGUUCCAGAAAGUGCGACAGAAAUAGGAAGGAGCAGCUUGCCGUGGAGAAGGCUUUGCCUCAGCCAGGGGGUCAGUGUCAGCAUCAACUGUGAAGUCAUGUUGGUGGAAUGGGCCUUGGCAUGGUGUAGACAAAACUGACACUUUGCCCCUGUAGUCUUCCUCCUCAGAACCCAUAAUCUCAGGCUAAUAAUGAGAAAAACACCACACCAAUUCACCAAUUUCAGUUAAGGAAUGUUCUACGAAAAUACCUGAUCAAUAUCCUUAAAAUGUUUGCCAAGGGGCAACCCGCUCAGGACCCCUUCUGUCUCUCUCUCAGACUGAAUAUAUUCUUCCUCUCAAUGAAUAUAUUCUGCUCUUAACCUCCACUGUUGCUAAAAUUCAUUCUUCAAUUUUAAAGAACAGGAACUUGCACUGGACAUGUAGUAGGUUGAGAAUUACUUUCCCCUAUAUCAAUAGCAAAAUACUUUUGUGAUCUGAGUAAACAAAGAUACUAUAUGGAAAGUAAUAACCACCAAAAAAAAAGUGAGUAGACUAAAAAUUCAUCAAAAUUAAAACUUCUUUUAAAAAUGUUUUCCAAGAGCAUGGUACAUGCGUAUAAUCCUAGCACUUAGGAGGCUGAGGCAUGAGGAUCACCACAAAUUCAAGGCCAGCGUGAACUGCAUAGUGAGAACGUCUCAAAACAAGGGAAGUCUGAGAAGCUGUCACCGUCAAAGAAGCCAAAGGAGACAUGUGGGACUAAAGCUGCUGGCUGAUGUGGUGUCCUGAGCAAAAUCCUAGAACAGAAAAGAAAAUGGACCUUUGCUAAAACCUAAGAAAAUCUGAUCAGUUCAUUACUGUUAACAAAUGCACAUACAUGUAGGUACUCUCUGUACAGUCUUCACAAUAUCCUGUAACUGUUAUUAAAAAAUAAAGUUUUCAAAAAUUCAUUUUGGCCUUUUGUGACUUUACAGGUAAGUUGGCAAAUAUCGACUGUCAUGCCCAUGAAAACAAUAUUUUUCCUGAAUUAUACAGAUUCAUAGUAUUAUGAACUUUAUUCUGUUACUGCAGAUGCAAAAGAAACCAGUAAAAAUAAAUCACUUCCAACAAAAUGUAAGCUUCUGCUUAAGAUUUCUAAUCUAUGGCUAAGAGUGUAGCUCAGUAGCUUAGCAUGUGUAAGGCCCAAGAUUUGAGCCUCAGCAUUACAAAAUAAAUAAAUGAGUAAAGAUUUCUAGUUAUUUAAAUUAACAAUUUCUAGGAAAAUUGACUUUCCAAAGGUCAGGAAACAUCAUUCCAAGAUACUGUCCUGAAUUUGUAACUGUGAGAAAAGAGACAUUUCUGAUCACUGAUUUUAUAUAAAUUAUAUGUAUUUAGAUAUAUAUUAUAUAAGUAUACACCAAUGCACACAAAAUUUAAGGCCUGUCUAUGAUGAAUCAAAAAGCAAGAAAGGAAAUAUAAUGUAACUUUUGAGCCAGGUGUGGUGUCACAGGCCUGUAACCCCAGCACUUGGAAAGCUGAGACAAGAGGAUUGUUGCAAGUUCAAGACUAGCUUGGGCUACAAAGUGAGCUCGAAUUCAGCCUUGAACUGCAUAGUGAGAGCCUGUCUCAAAAAAAUAAAAAAAGGGGGCUGGGGAUUUAGCUCAGCAGCAUAAGCGCCUGCCUUGCAAGUGUGCAGUCAUGAGCUCGAUCCCUGGUACCGAUAAAAACGAAAAAGACAAAAAUAAAUAAAUAAAAGUAACUUUUGAGGGAAAACAAAACAAAACAGAUUUCCAGGAGACUUGCCUGUUAUAUAAUGCCAUCAUUAGUCAGUUUGUAAUACUCUCCUUUUUGUCAGUGGGUAAUGUUCAAUGAAGUUUCAAGAAACUAUAAAACCCUCAGAAUUAGGAUUUAAGAUCAGUUCUUGUAUUGCCAUGUGGCAUCAGGGUGUGUGAUUUUUUUGGCUGAGCCAGUCAGAAGACUGAGUCUUGACAAGUGCUGGAAGAUAUAAAACUUGAAGAAAACAACAAAACCUUGUGAAAGCUUCAUGAUUGCUAAGGAUUUCUUACCAUGCUUUCAGAUUCUAUUUUUUAAAAAGAAUCAGUAAAUAAAGCCAGGGGCUAGGGAUUUAGCUCAGUGGCAUAGCGCCUGCCUGGCAAGAUGAGGUCGUGAGUUUGAUCCCCGGUACCAAAAUAAAUAAAUAAAGCCAGUCAGUCACCAUUAAGAUAAAAUUUGUAUAAAUGUGAUGUUGUUAUUUUCUAAGAAAUAAUUAAAAAUUAAGUUCCAGAAAAUGUUUGCUCUUUAGAUAUCUUUAGCUGUCCUAGAAGAAAGUUCUGGGUUAAAUAUAGAAUGCUUAUUUCAGAUUCCAUAUUAUUAAUGCUAUGCAAUAAUGCCUAACUUCAAAUAAAUUUUUUCAUUUAAUACCUUUGUUACACUGAAUGAAAUCACAAAAUAUCAUUUAUUUACCUUGUGAUAGGCUUGGGGUUCUAUUAAAAACUUAAAAAUGCAACCCAAGCAUGGUGACAUAGCCUCUAAUUCCAGAACUCUGGGAGGCUGAGGCGGGAGGAUUGUAAAUUUGAAUCCAUGAUGAGCAAUUGAGCAAUUUAUCAAAACUGUGUCUCAAAGUAAAAUAUAAGGAGGACUAGGGAUAUGGGUCAAUGCAAAGGCCUUGGGUAUAAUCUGCAGUGCUCCAUCAUAGUUGCGGGGGGAGGCAUGAAAAAUUCAAAGGACAACGGUCCUGAAGUAUCUAUCCUGCAGUUACAUUAUCUAAUACAGAUGUUGGACUGUGUUGUUAAAUAUAAACACAAAUUUGGGUGUUGAUCGAGAAAAAACAGAUCUUAAUUUUUUAACCAAGAUUUAUGUUAUCUUUUAAGAAGCUCCCAGACUCUAAAACAUUAAUCUGUGUUAUUUCCCCUUUCCUGUAGCAGCUGUUUCAAACAGACACAUGAACAAGAAUCGGCCCCUGGAUUAGGAACCUGCCGUGGAGAAGUCCGAGUUAGGCCUCCAGGGUUUUCCUGAGCUCUCCUGGAGCAGCCUGGGCUCCAGUCAGGAAAGUUCCCAAAUAUAUGGAGCCAGGGAGACGCCUGCUCCUUCCACAGUGGACUAGGUCACCAGCUCUGCUGCCUCCAGGCAACACAGCUCUGCUUUGCAGCAAGUGAGAGGCCUUUAGCUAGAAGACAUUCCAAGAACAGUAAGCAGACACCUGUAAACUUCCCACCUAAGAAGCACCCAAAUUAGGAGGGAAAUGGAAAAUCAAAAAGCUGAAACUGAAGUUCACCUGAUAACAGAAUCAAACAAUGGUAACAUUGGUAUCAGUCCUCAAGCCAUAGUGUUAAGAGUAGAUUCUCUCCUGGUCAGGGUGUGAGCCUCGACCAGUACAGAGCUACUGAAAGUAGAGAGGAACUUUGGCCCAGAUGCUACUGCACCCCAUGUGUGUGGCAGAAUUCUGGAGAUUCAAUCUGUACUCUGUCAAGAGCUUCGUCUUGGUCAUGCAUAAUCCCAGCUACUCAGAAGGCUGAGGCAAGAGGGUUAUAAAUUUAAUGCCAGCCUUGAAAAUUUAGCAAGACCCUGUCUCAAUUUAUAAAGGGCUGGGGAGGUAGCUCAAAGGCAUAGGGCCUGUCUAGUUUGCACAAGACCCUGGAUUCAAUCUAUAGUACUGCAAACAAACAAAUACACACACCCUUUUUGGACCACAGGAUGGUCAGGCUCCAAAGUUUGCCUAAUUUUCCAGGAAAAGUUGAGGCCAACCAGAAGAUAGUGUGUUGAAUCCUGAGUUUAAGUAUCAGAAUUAGAGAUGUGCAAAGCAAUAAUAUUUAUUAAUAUUUCAUAGGGUUAAAAUAUUAAAACCAGCUGGUAGAAGGAAAUUAUUAAUUCAGUAUCCUGUGUUACAGUAGCCCACACUAGAGAAACCAAUGAACAAGGGAAUUUUCAAAGUUUAGGCAGUUGUAUCAUGACAGUCUAGGUGGAAUGGAUCAUACCACUUCCAUAAUGCUGCUUUUUAAAAUUAAAAAUAAACCCAAUAAACUUGAAUUACUUUUUUAAGGUGUAAGAAAAUAUAAGCUUUCAAGAGCCUUCGUGUUGUAUUUAUUUACAGCAGCUGACUCAAUUGUACCAGCGACAGAGUCAUAGAGACUCCCUGGGAAGAAAUCAGCCAGUGCUGGGGUUCAGAAGGGUUCAAAUCCAAAGCCUCCCACCUACUGCAACUGACAAGUCCUAUCCACAGAAAAGAGUAACAAGCAUCUGUUAAAAAGAAUGAGGGAAACGUGAAGUGCAGAACUGUGUGUGUAACGUAGUGUGAGUAGAGAAAUCACCUGCGUGCUGAUUUCCGUGCACCAAAGACCUCAAAAGCAUGCAGAGAGCGAGUGCCAGUGUUUGCCUCUUGGAAGUAACCUUGGUGGAUUUUCCCUAUGUUCCAUUUUAUACCUUUUGAACGUUCGGCUGUUAACUAUUUACAUGUGCUUCCUAUCAAAGUUUUAUCUCCAAAAAAGGGCAUUCUGAAGAGUGAGACUGUGUUCCUAGAGCAGGUUUGGCUAUGCGGAAGAGGCCGUAAUGAAAGGAACUGCCACUAAAGUUUUGCAGCGAAGAGUCAGAGUAGAGCAGAGGCAUGGGCACUGCGUGGGCUGACACAGGUGUUCAGGGUUCAAGACCUAAACCGAGAGAAAAAUUACUGAGAAAGAAAAUCAUCUGUAGAAUAAAGCUUCAGAAGGUAACAAAGAAUUUUCAAAUGAAUUCCAUCGUAUCUGCAAAUCCGUUAAAACAAUCUCAACUUUUGAAAGCUCUGACACAGACUUCCUCAAAACACACACACACAGCAGCUGAGCAGACUAUCAAGAUAGUUCUGAAGUUUUAUGGUCAUCUCUUUUUUUUUUAGGGGUCAUUCUUUGCAUUUUUACUGCCCUAGAUAUACCUCUUCAAGGCACAGCAAUGCCAGUUAAAUUUUUUUUGUUUUGUUUCCAGCCAAAUCUUUUGUACAUUUCUGGAAUUUAAGCCACCUCAGUCACUGCUGCUUAUCUAUAACACCAUUGCUUUGAGGGAUUAAGGUAGGUUUUUUUUCUAAUACACUUAGAUCAAGAGUCAUCUGCGUUGAGAAGAAUAUCUUGUUUGAAUUAGGGAUGGAGAAUCUUUUAUUUUUUAUUUUUGUUUUUGUUUUUUGAUCUUUAGUUUUGAUUUCUCCUGAGAGUAGUAAUCUUCAGCAAGUGAUAUUUUUAAAAAGCCCCAAACACACCACAAAACAUUCCAAGUGAUUUUAACUCCCGAAUGAGGCUGGGCUACCUGAGUGAUUCUCUCUCUUCUCUUGUUUGGCAGAAAGGAUUAGAAACCUCCACAGAACUUGCUCUCUAUUAAAGUGGAGUGCUGUGCAUUCAUUGGCAAGAGGUGAAUUGUUUUCAGAUUACAUGUGAGAGAGUGUGUGUAUGUUUCUUUCCCACAUCAAAGACUUGGAUGGAAGCAGUUCUGAGUAUUGCCAGGGAUGCAAGAAUUGGUGCUAAAGUGAUUAACAAAAUUGCUUUUCUGCAAAAGAAGCACAAAACAUUACCUAGGGAUUAGAGGAGGAGAGGGCAAGAUUAAAGGUGAUGUUGAAUUUUGGGUAGAAUAUCUUAUCCAUCUUUUUCAAAUCAUGCUUCAAGGAUUCUGCAGCCCCUCCUUAAGGAAACCUGAACAAAUCAAAGCCCUGCUUUCUCAGAUUUUGUAGACAGGGACAUUGACAAGGUAAAAUUAAAACUGCUAACACAAGAACGCUCACUAAGCCACUUUGAUAUCUUUAUCUGUGAGCACAUUUAAAUGUGUUUUAUUUAGCACACUCCGAUGACUCCAUUGAUCAAAAGUGCUUUCAUUUGUAAUUGGUUUGUGUGUCCACCUGUAGGGCUUAAAUGACAGUGAUUUAUAGAAUUUCUGGGCUGAUUGUUCUGUUUCAGUAAAUCUUGAUUGAGUAGCCUAACAUCCCUUUUUAAAUGUAUCUUUCUUUGUUGAAAUCCUUGUCUAGCCGAAAUGUUAAAAAACAAAACAAACAAGAAAGCUACAGAGGGCUGGGGAUGUGGGUCGGUCUGUGGGUCGGUCAUGGAGCACCUGCCUAGCAUGUGUGAGACCCUCGGUUUGAUCUCCCGCACUGGAAAACUAAACAGAACUUGCAUUCUAAAGAGUGAGGGCAAGACCAUGUCUCAAACCUCCCUGGGUCUGAGCUGGGAAAUUGUUUUAAGAAUUAUCUCUGAGAUGCCCCACAGAAUUCUCUGUGCCUCUAUACUUUUUCAAGUCUUUUACAAACCAAACUUGGCCCUUUGUUGCUUCCGUGAAGUCCUCGUGACUUUAGUUUCCCAACUAUGUGGGCAGCAACAUAUAAACACAUGUCACUGUUCUCGAUGAAUAAAGUUCUUUCUCCUUGGUUUCUUCCUUUAGAGUAUUAUCAAAACUGUAAUGAAACAUCUAUGUGGACAGUAUGGCGUGAAGACACAAAGCAGACCAUAUGUAUACGUAUAUAUAUGGUAAUACAAAAGCAAUGUCAUAAUUCUUUUAAAAUUGUGUGUAUAAAAAUGCAAAAACAAAACAGAAUCAUACCUGUCAGACGCGUGAGAGGCUUGCCAAGGGAAAAAGGACUGGUGGUAGUGAAAGGGGGUUUUAGUUCCAUCUGCAACCUUUCUUUUUUCUUAAAGGAAAAGAGCCACUAAGCUAAGACUAUUGACUUGGGUACAGGAGAUGCAAGGAGUCACUGAGAUUCUUGUGCAAAGCACAGCAGAAGUUUGGGCUCUCUUUUUGUCUUCUCAUGAAUUGUUCUUUCAUUAAUGUGAUGAUUUUUUGGUCAGACCUAGCCAUGUCUCCUUUUAUCUACAGGAUAGUAAACAUCUGUUUCAAAUCGAUUCAGUAACUCAGAAUAGACACUGUGCCCCCUUUUCCCAUGAUAAAAUUUUCCUGGCUAACAGGCAUUCCCUGCAGCACGAGACACACACUGUAGCCUUCCAUAAAAAGAAUUAACAGACGAAUAAAUGAGCACUGUUCGCCACAGCUCGCAUUUUCAUUUUGAAACAGGCUUCUCCAGGUUGCCUCUUUGACUUCUUCACUCUCAGGAACUUGUUGACAACAAUCAUUUUUUCUCUGUCUUUCCCUUGGGGUCCUGUAAGGUCACUGGACAUGAGAUAGCUGUGAAAUUUGACAUUGUUCCCAUUUAAAUGCUUUCCUCCAACAAGUGCCAGACUGCGGCUGCUUGGGUGUGGGGCCGGCAGACCAGCCAGGCUCCGGGACCGCCAGCCCUCCAGGCUUCAAAGCCUGCCAUCCUUGAUCUCACUAAAGAAUGUUUUUGAAUUCUAUGUCCAUCUAGUGGUUGCCUGCAAAGAUCUACUUGGCUCUUUCUUUCUUCCUUUUCUUUCACACUUGAUCAGUGAGAUUCUGUUUGUGAUGGGGGUUUUGCCCCCCUUGGUCUUUAAUUCUUUCCCAGGUGGUUUCAAAGUGUCUGUCCUCAGCCCUGCUUUCUAUAAACAGGCAGGAAUUCGAGAGCGCAAUGUCCUGCUCUCCUCCUAGCACAGCCCUUCUGCUCUUACUUUGAAAACAGACUGUUUUGUGGACAGUAGAGUACAGUUCUUUUUCACAGAUGAGAUUAGAGGCUUGAGGGGGAGUCUGAAGGGAGGGGAGUGUUUUUCUUUUUUCUUUUCUUUCUUUUUUUAAACUGGAGACUCUUUGUGUUGUGACUCAUGUUAGCAAAUGCAAGAAUUUUACUUAUUUUACACUCAGUUGCACCUUUGGUUAAGGAUGACAUGGCACCAAGCAGAAGGUGCUGGGAAUUUGCUGAUUUCCUCACCAAUUUCUUCUCCAGCAUCUCAAGGGUACCCACGAGAGAUGGCAAUCAGGUGGCAACAGCAGCUAAUGUGACUGCAUAUCCAAGGAGUUGAAUUAAACAGAUUCUAGCAGAGGAUUCUGAUGUACCCGUGGGGUUGAGAUAGCAAGCCGAUCUCCCGCUUUCUAGGAGCUGAAAAGUCUCUCUCCAGGUCUCAGGUCCUGUAUUGUUUUUUGUUGUUGUUUUUUAAUCAGUACCCAGGAUUGAACUCACAACUGCCUGCUUGCAGGUGCCUAUGCCACUGAGCUAAAUCCCCAGCCCCGGUCCUGUAUUGUUUUAAAGGAGGGAGUGAAAUGCCUAUAGCAGUUGUCAGUCUUUUUCGUUUUCAUGUGGAUUCUGAAAGUUGGGGAACUAAUGUAUUUAUAUCCAUACUGCUGUGAAUUCUGUUAGAGGAAAUUGCUGAUGGAGACCAACUGUUAUCUUGUUCCAAAGUAUGACAGGGCAAAGGCAUUCUGUGUGUCUCAGGCCACCUUGACCUCUAGGAAAAGACAGGAGCACAUGAGUUAAUAUCUAAAGGUUGCUGCCUUUUGUUCAGCUCAAAUUAAAACAAAUAUUUAUAGUCAUUGAAAAUAUAUUUUUCUGAAGUUGGGUACAGUGGGGCAUGUCUGUAAUCCCAGCUAUUCAGAAGGCUGAGAUAGGACUAUCACAAGUUCAAGGCCAGCAUGAGCAACUUGGAUUAUGUCUCAAAGGAAGGGUAGAAGCGGAGGAUGGGUUGUAAUUCAGUGAUAGAAUCCAUGGCUUGUGUGGGCCCUGGGUUCAGUCCCUGCGCCACAAAAGGUGUGUGCAUGUGUGUGUAUGUGUGUGUAUGUGUGUGUGUUUAGACACAAGGUAUGAUCAUAAAAUACAGCAUAUGUUUACAUUUUUAAUAAUUUAUUGCAAAGUUGGACAUACUGGCACACACCUGGAUUCCCAGUACAGGCGGCACAGAGGCAGAAGGAUCACCACGAGGUCAAGGCUGGCAUGAAUCUCAUCGUGAGACCCCAUCACAAAACAUCAAGAAGAAAAAACAUUACAAGCAGAGACACAUUGUCACACAAUCCCCUCAAAGUCUUCGUCUCAUUUUGGACACAUUUAUGCCACUGCUCCGGCCACUUCCCGAAGCCUCUCUCACAGCACGGUCACGGCUGCCUUGACAGCCUGACUCAAUUCGAACGUUCGCCUUUCGUGGCAUCUUGACUUUGGGGCAGAGCCAGAAGUCACACGGUGCCCGGUCUGGUGAGUGAGGGGAGGAGGGCGCACUGGUGUGUUGGUGUGGUCUGGUCUUUGUGUCAGUGUCACCCAGCAGAGGCCUUCACUAUUCUUAUCACACCUCACAGAGACACAAAGAAAACUCUAGAACUGUUUCAGGAAAGGGUGAGAGAAGUGGGCUCAGUGUGUGCAAAGUGAGGGGAAAUAUUCUGGGGGCCAAUGGCGAUGUGUCUUUCACUUCGUGCAUUUUAACAUUUAAACGCACUUGAGCUCCUGCCCAGCCCUUGCUAGAACACUGUGCUAGAACCGAUGUAAAACCAUAACCACUGGACUCAUGAGCAUUGUUUACAGCAGCAAAGUGAGCAAUUGGGGAACAACCAUCUGUGGGACAAUAUGUAAUUUAAAAGAAGCUAUAAAACAGAAACACAGGGACAUGGAAACAUGUCUGAGAAAUGGGUAAGUGAAGUGAAAAGCUGAAAAAAUGUUUCAGAAAUGACAUGUACAGAGUGGGUUCAUAGACAUAUGUAUUCCGUAUGCUGAACAGGAAUAUACAGUAUUGAGGGAGGUGGCGGGAGAGCCCUCAAUUUUAUGUAUAAUGUUUUCCUUGUUUUACGAUGCAUUUUUAUGAUUCACAUGUAAUUUUUUUUUAAAUUUAAGUGAUGUUUUAUAAAACCAAAUAGAAGCCAGGCAUGGUGAAACAAGCCUGUAAUCCCAGCUACUCAGGAUGCUGAGGCAGGAGGAUUGCUAGUUUGAGGCCAACCUGUAUAACUUAGUAAGAUCCUGUCACAACAUUAGGGAAAAGAAUACAAAAAAAAAAGGGGUGCAGCUCAGUGGUGAAUCCCCAGUACUACACACACACACACAUACCCCAAGAUAACUGAAAAGAAAAAAAUCACUUAUAAUCCACUACACAGCUUACCACAGUCUUUUGUGUAUAUAUUUUUAUAUUUCUGUUAGUUUUUGCUGUGCUGAGAGCAAACCCAGGGCCUCAUGCAUGCUAGGCAAGCACUCCAUCUCUGUGCUACCCAGUGUUUGGGGGCUUGUUUUGUUUCUUUGAGACAAGGUCUCACUAUAUUGCUCAGGCAGGAUUCAAACUUGCAAACCUCUUACCUUAGCCUCUUGAGUAGCUGGGAUUACAAGCACAUGCCGCCAUACCAGACUUAUUUAUUAACUGACAAGCAAAAAUUGUAUAUUUUGUGGUGUGCAGCAUGACUUCUUAACAUGAUGCUUUGGUAUAUGGAUACUUUGCAGAAUGGCCAAAUUCAGCUACUUAACAUGCGCCUCCCCACACAUUCCUACUUUUCUGUUCUCUUGGCAAUCUUCAAGUACAUGAUGUUAUCAAUCAUCACCACCAUGACCUUUUUCCUCCUCUCUAAUUGAAAUUUCGUGUCUUUUGGCCAGCACCUCCCUCCCUAAUUCCCCCAAUCCCCCUGUCUUUGGUAUCAGUGUUUUACUCUCUUUCUGAGCUCAGUUUUUAUGUAGAUUCCCCAUAUAAAUGAAGCUAUGCAGUAUUUGCCUUUCUGUGCCUGGUUUAUUUCACUUACUGAGAUGUCCUCCAGGAUUGUCUGUGUUGUCACAAGUGCUGUUACCCCUGCCAUCUGUUCGUAUCACACUUCUCCACCCAUGCCCAGCGGCUGCUCGCUGGGCCUUGUGAACGGCACCGCAGUUACCGAGGGUGCACACGUCUCUGAAGCACAUGGGUUCCAUGUCUCUGGACCCACACUCAAAUGUUGGAUUUCUGGAUCAUGUGGCAAUUCUAUUUGUAAUUUUUGAGGCCCCUCCAUCCUGUUUACCGUAAUGGUUUAAUUUACUUCCCUAUCAGAGUACGCAAAGGCUCACCUAUCCAUGUUCUCAGUGAAGUUUGUUUCUGAUAGUGAUCAUCGGACAGGUGUGAGAUAAUAUUUCAUAGUGGUUUUUGCUUGUUGCUUUGCUUUUAAUUUUGAUUUUUGCACUCAGGGAAUUAAACCCAGGUCUUUAAAUUUUUUAUUUAUCUUAAGACAGGCUCCCUAAGUCACUAAGUUGUCAAUGCUGGCCUCAAAUUUAUGAUCCGUCUGCCUCAGUCUCCUGGAGUGUGGGAUAUAGGCUGUGCCACCCCACCUGGCUCAUAGUGGUUUUAAUUUGCAUUUCUCUGAUGAUUAGCGAUGGUGCGUGUACCCGUUGGCAGUUUGAGAAAUGUCUGUUCCUACCUUCAUGCUGAUUUUCUCAUCAGGUUAUUUCCUCACUAUUGUGUUAAGUUCCUUGUAUGUUUUACAUAUUAGCCCCUUAUCAAAUGUAUAGCUUUCAAAUGUAUUCUCCCAAUUCAUAGAUUCUUACAUCACUGUGUUGUUUGCUUGCUAUACAGAAGAUUUUACUUCAAUGUAAUCCCACCUGUCUAUUUUACUUUUGUUGCCUAAUUCAUAUAUAUAUAUAUAUAUAUAGAGAGAGAGAGAGAGAGAGAGCACCCUGGGGAUUCAACCAAGGCCUUCAUACUGAAUUAUAUUCCUGCCCCUUUGUGUUUUUGUUAUUUUGAGACUUCUUUUGCUAAGUUGCCCAGGCUGACAUCAAACUUGUGAUCCUCCUGUCUCAGCCUCCCAGAGUGCUAAACUUGUUCCCUAUGCUUUUUGAGUCCUAUCCAAAAAUAUCAUUGCCGGCACCAGUAUGACGGGCUUUUCCCUUACACUUCCUUCUAGUAGUUUUACAGUUUCAACACUUAUGUAUAAAUCUUGAACCCAUUUUGGGAUGCUACUUGAUGUGGUUUGAGAUGAGGGCUAGCUGGGACCUGCAGUCCCAGACCCUGGGAGGCUGAGGUGGAAGCUCACCUUGAUUCGAGGCCAACCUGGGCUACACAGUGAAUUCAGACACAGCCUGAACUGCACAGCGAGAACUUGUAUCCCAGCACCCCUCCACACACAAAAAUCUAACUUCAUUCUUCUGCAUGUGACUGUCCAGUCUCCUCAGCGCCAUUUGUUGAAGGGUCUGUCCUUUUCUCAUUGUGUAUUCUUUUCAUCUUCAUCAAAAAUCAAUUGACAAAUGUGUGCACCUAUUUUUGAUCCUUCUAUCCUGUUCCAUUGGCCUCUGAUGUCUGUUUUAUGCUAGUACCAAGCUGUUUUGAUGACUGUAGCUUUGUAGUAGAUUUUGAAAUCACAUAGCAUGAUGUGGUGAUUCAAAGCUUUUCACAGUUUCAAAGAAAUAUUUUCUAUUUCUGUAAAAAAAAAUCACUGGAAUUUCAAUAGGGAUUGUAUUGAAUUUGUAGAAGGCUUUAAGUAACAUGGACAUUUAAAAAAUAUUAAUUCUUCCAAUCUAUGAACAUAGGACUUAGGCAUUUGCAAAUGUUUAGUAUUAUAAAAAGCACUAUGUAUUCCUAGUCUUUUUUUUUUUUAAUCUGGGAUCAAACUCACGACCUCACACUUACCAGGCAGGUGCUUGUUCUGCUGAGCUGAAUCCCUGGCCCCACGUACUCCUAUUCUUGACUUGACUUUACAUUUACUUAUAAAUUCCUACAAGUGAUAUUUCUGGGUCAUAGAAGCUUGAGAACAAUGUCCAAUUUCUUUCUUUCUUUCUUUCUUUGGAGACAGGGUCUCAUCAUGUGGUUCACACUGGCCUAGAGUUCACUGUGCAGCCCAGGCUGGCCUUGAACUCAGAAAUUCUCCUGCCUCUGCCUCCCGAGUGCUGGGAUUACCAACAUGCACCACCACACCCUGCCAAUGCCCAUUUUUCAAUGCAGUCAGAGAGAGGCCAAGAGGAUUGUAAGAAUUGCUACUAAUGCCACAGACUGAAGAUACCCAGGCAAACUGCCAUGGACCCAGUAGAGAUUCCCACACACCGCAUGGAGAGCAGGCCUUGUCUGGAGUCCUCAGCAGUCUGUCUUCUUCCAGCUUAGAAGGAUGAAUGUGAAGUUUCUCGGUGGAGGGAGGCUGGGGCCAGUGGUACCCCAUGGUCAAGAGGCCCAUCUGAGCACUCCCAUCACUGGACUUGUGCACCCAGAACCAACCCAGUCACUGUAUAGUCACUUUGCCCACUGGUGAGACAUAGCACCAUGCUGGGGUGGAGUCAUUUAAGAGCACACAGGAGUGACAAAACAGAGGAAAUGAAAAGUUUCUGCAUCCAACACCAGCUGAAUUAAGCUGGUGAAUCAAGCAGAGAAUUCUGCAUUCCAAGAAAGCAUUCUCCGCAGAGCGAAGUAAAAAUCUCCCUCUGGUAGGAAAGAAGGUGUCAUCGUGGAUUAACUGGCUGAUGGCUGACCAGGUCCAGGCCACCAGGCGAGGCCUGGCUGAGGCUUCCCCCUUCGUAGUGAAGCAGACUCCCAGGCUGUGGCAGGUUCACUUCAGGCCUGCCAUUGACUCGGUCCUUGACCCCAAUAAAUCAUUUACUGUGCUA